rnacentral:rRNA from 1 species
UGUGAUGGGUAGGGGAGCGUCGUGUGCCGGGUGAAGCUGCCGCGUAAGCGAGUGGUGGACGGUUCACGAGUGAGAAUGCAGGCAUGAGUAGCGAUUCACACGUGAGAAACGUGUGCGCCGAUUGACUAAGGGUUCCUGGGUCAAGCUGAUCUGCCCAGGGUAAGUCGGGACCUAAGGCGAGGCCGACAGGCGUAGUCGAUGGAUAACCGGUUGAUAUUCCGGUACCCGCUGUGAAGCGUCAAACAUUGAAUCCAGUGAUGCUAAGCCCGUGAAGCCGCCCUGAUCUCUUCGGAGUUGAGGGGAGUGGUGGAGCCGGUGACCCAGGCUGGUAGUAGGUGAGUGAUGGGGUGACGCAGGAAGGUAGUCCAUCCCGGGCGGUGGUUGUCCCGGGGUAAGGGUGUAGGGCGUCGGGUAGGUAAAUCCGCCUGGCAC